UGCUCCCUUUGCAACUCAAGAGCAAUUUGAUACCUGAGCAGCUGGGCAACUCGGUCUGAAUGGAUGAAAUAUUCCUGAGGAUUUGCCAAAAAGGGCAGGACAGCCCACUUUGCUCAGGCCAUCUCGCACACUUCAACAUGACCUACAGCUCCACAGAGCCCAUACUUCAGCAUGCUCUGGGUAUAUUGUUCUGAAGAAUGAGAAGUUGUUUUGCAAAGACUUGGAAAGUUCUGUGCUGCUGCCUUCUCAGACUUUCCUUUGGCAUCACUUUGUGGAUAGAGAUUAGCUUUGGCUUGUAGCCAGUGGAUCUUCUGUGCCUUCACCUGCUCUGUUCAAAGGAUCUUUAUCGUCAGAAAUCAUCCAUUUUCACAGAUGUAGUUUCCAGCAUCUUGAUACUGAAGACUUGAAAAUGAUGGACUUGUUUGCAUUCUCAUAUUGUCCUGAUAAGGGAUUUCUCCCCCUACCUCCCCAAACAAGUAAAUGCAACCCAACUGACAAGGUACUGCAGAUCUUACCAUUGCUUCCACAAGAAAGAAAAAAAAAGACAAGACUCAGCCAUGAAAAUAAAAAAAAAUAUCUGAAGUGCCAAGAUGAGACAUGAGGAAAUGAAAAGCCUUGAUUCAGAAUGAAAGCUUUUUCAGCACAAUGGCAUAGACAAGAAUAUUCAUCCAUAUAUGAAAAGCGAAGUGUGCACUCUACAGCCCUUCCAACCCUUGAGGCAUUCAUCACGUCCGUCUUCUGCUACGAGGUUUCUCAAUAACAGGAGCUGCUUUCUCCUGUGGCCUCUGGAUGACUGAGAGCCCUGGCACAGCAUCUCACUCCUCCCCACAUGAAGAGUGGUACCGGGCCUUCAACG